rnacentral:tmRNA from 2 species
GGGGCUGAUUCUGGAUUCGACGGGAUUUGCGAAACCCAAGGUGCAUGCCGAGGGGCGGUUGGCCUCGUAAAAAGCCGCAAAAAAUAGUCGCAAACGACGAAAACUACGCUUUAGCAGCUUAAUAACCUGCUUAGAGCUCUCUCUCCCUAGCCUCCGCUCUUAGGACGGGGAUCAAGAGAGGUCAAACCCAAAAGAGAUCGCGUGGAAGCCCUGCCUGGGGUUGAAGCGUUAAAACUUAAUCAGGCUAGUUUGUUAGUGGCGUGUCCGUCCGCAGCUGGCAAGCGAAUGUAAAGACUGACUAAGCAUGUAGUACCGAGGAUGUAGGAAUUUCGGACGCGGGUUCAACUCCCGCCAGCUCCACCA